rnacentral:tRNA from 1 species
GGAAGCUUGGCAGAGUGGUUGAAUGCACCGGUCUUGAAAACCGGCGAAGGUGAAAACCUUCCGUGAGUUCGAAUCUCACAGCUUCCGCCA